ensembl:misc_RNA Metazoa_SRP Metazoan signal recognition particle RNA
GCCCAGGGCAGUGAAGCACAUUCAUGGUCCCAGCUACUUGGGAGACUGGGGUGGGAGGAUUGCUUCUGCCCAGGACUUCUGAGCUGUAGUUCGCUGUGCUGAUUGGGUGUCCACAUUAAGUGUGGCAUCAAUAUGGUGACCUCCCGGGAGUCGGGGACCACCAGGUUGCCCAAGGAGGGGUGAGCCAGCCUAGGCUGGAAACGGAGCAGGUCAAAACUCCAGUGCUGAUCUGUAGUGGUAUCGCACCUGUGAAUAGCCACUGCGCUCCAGCCUGGGCAACACAGGGAGACCCUGUCUCUA